rnacentral:lncRNA from 1 species
CGUCGCACGGCCUCGUGUGGCUGAGGUGAACGGCCUGUGGUGGUAAGGGUGAACGGCUUGAGCGUUGCAUCGUCGAACGGCCUCGUGUCGAGGCAGUGAACGACCUGGGCCGUGAAGGUUGAAGCAGGGGGUGUUGAGAGGCUGUGUGGGACUAAUACUGCACUGUCAGAAUCAGUUUUGUAGCUGCUCACCACGCACACCUACUCAACUGCUCCGUGCCACCGUCCCUCUGCGCAUAAGUACACUUGCCGCCUACCCGUUGUCGUUGGAUGUACCUUGCACACACACAACAGCCACCAAUUAGCAUGCACAAGUUCAUGUACAGUAACAUUACAAAUUUGCAAUGAAACCUAAAAAGUUUUGUACUUUGAAAUACUUCAUUUUAUUUUCCAAAUACCUUUUUUUUAAAUAUGAACUUCUAUAUUUAUUUCCUUAGAACUUAUUAUUAUUUCCCUCCGAACAAAAAAACAUGAUUGGUUUACUUACCCAUAAAAUAUUUGAAGUAUGUCAAAUGAAAAAACAUUCCUAGGCCUGGAAGUGAGAAAACACAUUACACUCAUCGAGGUAGAUAUCAUUCUGUGCGUACCUUGCCACAGACCACAUCGGAUUUUAAGAUUCUAGAUGAACUUCAGCAAAGUGAAGUGAAACCUUUUUCUAACCUGAGAAUUGCAGAAAAUUAGCUUGAUUUAUUUAACCAAAGCAAAUAAACUCUUAACUACUUAUGGCAAGUAUAUUUGAACUGAUGUAUCCUUUUUCUAGUUACUGAAUUGCUGUAGUAUUACUUCCUGCCCUUCCAAACUCAUAUUGAAAACAUGUACCAAAGAACAUCAUGCAUCAGUGUUCAGAAGGCAUACAAGAGCUACACACUGCCGCGAGGUACCAACUUUUCAACGGUUCAGUUCAAAAUUCAACAAUUCGAUUUUCAAUAGAUCAAACCAAGGAAAGACAACUAACCGAAGGGGUGGCCAACGGCCACAGUUGCUCACGGCAUGCACGACAGUGUCCAACAACCUCUAUCCUGGCUCAUUGUGGAACGACGUGCUGGGCGUAAUCCACGGCCUGGCAUAUGAGAUGCAAAAAAGAG